rnacentral:lncRNA from 1 species
UGCGUUAGGGAGCUACCAUUUGAUUUUUAUGGGGGGGCUAGGAUGAAAUUUGAAAAAAAUAGGCAGGACAGCAGUUUUGAGUAAAAAAAAAGGCAGGAUGUGACACUUGCAAAAAAAAAAAAGUCAGGACGACAAUUUAGGUAAAAAAAAGUCAGGAUAAACUAAAAAAAAAAAAAAAAAAAAGGCAGGACCGAUUAGAGUGAAAAAUAAAAAGGCAGGACAGAGAUUACAGUUAAAAAAAAAUGCAGGACAAAAUUUUUCAUCCUAGCCCCUCCCAUAAAAAUCAAAUGGUAGCUCCCU